AUUGAACGCUGGCGGCAUGCCUUACACAUGCAAGUCGAACGGCAGCGGACCUUCGGGUGCCGGCGAGUGGCGAACGGGUGAGUAAUAUAUCGGAACGUACCUUUCAGUGGGGGAUAACGUAGCGAAAGUUACGCUAAUACCGCAUAUUCUGUGAGCAGGAAAGCAGGGGAUCGCAAGACCUUGCGCUGAUUGAGCGGCCGAUAUCAGAUUAGCUAGUUGGUGAGGUAAAGGCUCACCAAGGCGACGAUCUGUAGCGGGUCUGAGAGGAUGAUCCGCCACACUGGAACUGAGACACGGUCCAGACUCCUACGGGAGGCAGCAGUGGGGAAUAUUGGGCAAUGGGCGCAAGCCUGACCCAGCAACGCCGCGUGAGGGAAGAAGGCCUCGGUUGUAACGUACU
rnacentral:rRNA from 1 species